GAUGAACGCUGGCGGCGUGCCUAAUACAUGCAAGUCGAGCGAACGGACGAGAAGCUUGCUUCUCUGAUGUUAGCGGCGGACGGGUGAGUAACACGUGGAUAACCUACCUAUAAGACUGGGAUAACUUCGGGAAACCGGAGCUAAUACCGGAUAAUAUUUUGAACCGCAUGGUUCAAAAGUGAAAGACGGUCUUGCUGUCACUUAUAGAUGGAUCCGCGCUGCAUUAGCUAGUUGGUAAGGUAACGGCUUACCAAGGCAACGAUGCAUAGCCGACCUGAGAGGGUGAUCGGCCACACUGGAACUGAGACACGGUCCAGACUCCUACGGGAGGCGCAGUAGGGAAUCUUCCGCAAUGGGCGAAAGCCUGACGGAGCAACGCCGCGUGAGUGAUGAAGGUCUUCGGAUCGUAAAACUCUGUUAUUAGGGAAGAACAUAUGUGUAAGUAACUGUGCACAUCUUGACGGUACCUAAUCAGAAAGCCACGGCUAACUACGUG
rnacentral:rRNA from 1 species